CCUUUUUAAUUCCCAUUGUUUUUACAGACACAUUUGAUUUGUGAAGGCGAGCGGAUCUCUGUUCUUGUUUCUGUUGGAACUACAAACAAAAGUUAAAUCGUUUUUAAGUACCUAGUUGAUUAAUACUUUAGUUGAAUUAAACGCGGUAGAAGUGAAUGCGAGCAGUUCGAAGUGAAAUAUAUCUUUGUUAUGUAUGAAUGUGUCCGUAUAUGUUGGUAAAGGUUGUGUUAUAUACCUGGGUAAAGUCAAUAAACUCUAUCGAGGAGUGCCAUGAAAUGGUAUUUGAGAAAGUGAAAACAGACAUUACUUAAUUCAUCUCAGUUUUAUUCAACAGCAGUUACUCUCAAUAUAGGACUGAGCCAAGAUUACCAGAAAUACCUAACAGAAUGUUGAAAUCAGUGGAAAAAGUUGGUCUGUAGAAGCAUCUUGCCUUAUGUACCCGGAGCAACAUACUAAUGCUAAACCACCAUCACCGUCAUCGUUGUCGCAAUUCGCCCCCCACCCGCCUCGUUACCGUAGGAUGCCCACAACACCAACAACUGUGCAUUCCGACCAGGGGGUGAGCUGAUCUCGAAGAAAAUGGCCACCGACAUGCGGUCUCCGAACGUCUCCGUCACCCCCAUAAACGUGGAGCCCUAUCCUCCUCCCGGAGAGCCUCCGCAGAGGACCAGAAGCGCCCCUCAUCCAGCAGCUCUCAUUUCAAAUGGCACUGUGGACGUUCUGGACAGCUCGGACGCGGAGGUAGCGAGAAUAGACUUCCAGUCUGUAAACAUGCGGUCCAAGAUAAAGAGGGAAGACAUUCCAAGGCCGAUGAGUUGGGAGGGGGAACUGUCAGACGGAGAAAGAGAAGGGAUGUGCAUCGACGAAGAAAAUUCGGCGCCGGUACCUGAAAAUCUGUCACUUCCCCCUUCGAAGCCUCCUUACAUUAACGACUCGAAAGAAAGUCCUGUUCUUAGACUGAAGCAGCCACCUAUGGGAAACUAUUCGUUACAUAGUACGCCUAGCAACUCACCUUUACUUAGCCAACGACACCCUAUAACAGGGGUGCCGAUAAUCAGCCAUAAAGAUCUCAUGAUGCACAAAGGUCUCAACGUUCCCCCGACGCCUUCGCCCGACUCAGCCGUCCACUCUGCCUACAGUGUCUUCAGCUCGCCCACUCAGUCGCCUCUCACGCAGCGCCACGUGACCUUCACGCCCAAUCUCAGCAGGAACAACAGCGACGCCUCGCACUCCAGUUGCUGCAGUUACAGCAGCGUAUCCGUUUCUGUCUCGCCUACACAACAGUUCUCGCCCACGCACAGCCCCAUACAGGGUCGACAUAUGCCGAACUUUCACAGCAGCCCACUACACCAACACAGUUACAUAUACAGAAGUUUGCAGGACGAAAAUUUACAGUAUUCUACAGAACAAGACACCUUGGAUGAGACUGAAGAUAAAUCUGGUAUAAUACAUGCAUCUCUUCCAGCCCAGCCAGGAAUAUCUAGGCAACAGCUUAUCAACAGCCCUUGUCCAAUCUGCGGCGACAAAAUCUCAGGUUUCCACUACGGCAUCUUCAGUUGCGAAUCUUGCAAAGGUUUCUUCAAGAGGACUGUCCAAAACAGGAAAAACUACGUGUGUCUAAGAGGCGCUCAAUGUCCCGUAACUGUAGCAACGAGGAAAAAAUGUCCCGCUUGUCGAUUCGAGAAGUGUCUGCAGUGCGGGAUGAAACUAGAAGCCAUAAGAGAGGAUAGAACGAGAGGCGGUAGAUCGACGUAUCAGUGCAGUUAUUCACUGCCCCCUUCACUUGCCAACCAUUCCGACUUAAGAGCCAGUUCGACGGAUUUGCGACAGAUGGGCGAAGGUCAUCAGAGUCUGACGGUCAAGCUGGAACCGCCCGAUCCUCAGGUGGCUUCUGCAAAGAGGAGUAUGUUUCCUGGAUCUAAAGGUGUUCCUCCAUUAUUACAGGAAAUAAUGGAAGUCGAACACUUAUGGCACUACAACGAAUCCGAGCUAAACAAGCUGUACACCGAUGGCCAUCUGGGCAAAGAGGGUUCCAGCGGGGCGGUGAACAAUCUCUCCACUCACCCCCUUUUGGCCGGGACGGCACUGGCCGCUUCGGCGGACACGAGUCCUGACUUCGUGGCGAACCUCUGCAAUAUAGCCGAUCAUCGGCUCUACAAAAUCGUCAAAUGGUGCAAGAGUCUUCCGUUGUUCAAGAAUAUUUCGAUUGACGAUCAAAUAUGUCUCCUGAUCAACUCCUGGUGCGAAUUGCUCCUGUUCUCGUGUUGUUUUCGGUCGAUGACAACACCUGGAGAGAUCAGGAUAUCCCUCGGGAAGAGUAUAUCGUUGGCUCAGUCGCGGGAGAUGGGUAUGCAGGCAUGUAUAGAGCGAAUGCUCAAUUUCACUGAGCAACUGCGAAGAUUGCGAGUGGAUCAAUACGAGUAUAUCGCUAUGAAGGUGAUAGUACUACUUACUUCAGAUACUUCCGAGUUAAGAGAAGCUGAGAAAGUCAGGUUGUCCCAAGAAAAGGCUCUAAAAGCCUUACAAGAUUAUACUUUAUCUCAUUACCCGGAAAGUCCGGCUAAAUUUGGCGAACUACUUUUAAGGAUUCCCGAAUUACAAAGAACAUGUCAGGUCGGUAAAGAAUUAUUGACGAUAAAAUCAAAAGACGGAGAUGGACCCAGUUUCAACCUCCUGAUGGAGCUCCUUAGGGGGGACCACUGAAAAUGUGCCUUAUAAGCUUGGGUGGCGGGCUCUCGUAUACUACAGACAGUAUUUUCUGCUUAAUCACUACUUAGCUUUAAGUGAAACUCUACGUACUUAGAAAACCGUGCUGGACACUUUAAAAAAAUUGUCGGUAGGUUGGAUUUUUUCAAACGACCCCCCCCCCCCCUUACAGAGCAUUGUAUCAAAAUAGAAGUCAAUAAGCGAAUAUAAAAACUUUCUUUUUUUUCUCUAACGAAAAAAACGUUAAAAGUUUUUGUAUUUUAAUCAAAAUAAUUGUUUGUAUUAGAUAUCACAGAAAAUUUAUUGUAAUUUUAGAUUUUUAAGACUGUUCCUUUAAAAAGAUUCGUCUGGGUUGUUGAUUGUUCUAUUUUAUUAAUUCUUCCAAGUUUUUUAAAUAAAUAAACGAAUAAAAUGAAAAUAAAUAUGUAAUUAUGUUUCGCAACAAAAAUUUUAAAAAAAUUUUAAGCAGCUUGUACCGAGUAUUAAGUACAUUAUCUUUUUCAUUUUAAUAAUUUAAGUUGUUUAAUUAUUUUUAAAAAUUAUCUCUUCCAAAUAAUAUAUAAUUUUAUUUAUUUUAUCAAUCAAUAGCUCAAUCUUUUGCGUUAUUUUGCCCGUUAUGAUUGCACUAUAUAUCGUUUUUGGAUAAUUAUAUCUUUACAAAUUCUAUAUUUUAUUCAUUAAUUUUUUAUUCAAGAACUAAUAAUUUUCGUAUAAAAAAUUAUUUAUUUUAAAAAAAUCUACAAAAGGUUCUUCGCAAAAGAAAACUGGACAUUUUAGAAUUCAUACUGUACUGUACUCCAAGAUGGCGGUUACAGCUGUCAAUUAUUCUAUCAUAUGUUAAUUUUGAUGCAAAAUGUCAUUUGUCAAGAUUUUCAACUGUCAUCUAACCUAAACGCGUCACUUAUACGCUGUGAGCUCGUACGUAGAGGGGAUAUUUAGAAAUUCGCGAGCGCCAGUAGUGGCAAGUCUGUAAACGUUUACCGGAAAUUUGACAUAAAUGUCAAAGUGAUUAAUUUAAAAUUAAAAUUAAAAACAUUAAUUAUAAUAAAUAUUAGUUGGUCAAAGCUGUGGUUUAUAUUUUUACCUUAAAUAUACUUACGUUUUAAAUGCUGAAUUUAAGUUUUUUUAAUGUUCCGUAAUAUGUACUUAUAAAUUAAUCUGCGCCAUCUACACGAUAAUUGUGAAAGUAUCCGAAAUAAGAAAUUCAUAUUUUAUCAAUAGAACGUCAAAAUGAUUAGCAAAAUCUUAAAAAAAUCGAUUACAAUUUAAUUACUAUUUUGCGUUGUAAAUAUUAAGCGAUAACAAUUAAAUAAUAAAUUUAAAAAUUACCAGUGAAAGUUGAAUUAGUAAUCCGCCAGGAGCGACACCAGCGAAGCUCAGAGCGUAUAGAAAACUGCAGUUUUCAAAUGAACUAUUUUUAGAUUUACAUUCAAUUUUUAGAAAUUUUCUUCAAAUAUUUGCAUUUUUCUUUUGUAAAGUCUCAUUUUUGAUAAUAAAUCUAAGAUCUCCAGAGAAGGGUCUUUACAAAUGAAAAUUGAAUGUUUUGGAACUCAUUAUAAAAGGAUAAAGGUCUUCAAUAUGGCGGCUGUAGCUGUCAAUUCAAGUCAAUUGUUUUACCAAAUGCUAUUGUUUAACUGUCAGAUAACGUUAGGACGCCAUAUUUAAAAAAUUGUGGUAUUCUUACAAAGGCUUCUUGAAUUUACAUCAAAUUGACAAAAAAUACGUUCAAAAAUUUGCAUUUUUCUUUUGUAAAGUAUAUUAUUUGUAGACGCCCUGUAUAUUUUAUGAAAAGUAUUACGUAAUUUCAUAUCAAGGGUCGUUUGAAAAAAUCCACAAAAACUUUUUUACAACCGAAAUGUAUAUAUAUUUUAAGUUAAGUUUAUAUUUUGAUAUUUUUUAUUAUAUACAAUGAGGCUAUUUAACUCGCUAUCGUUGACGUUUUUUUAUAUAUUUAUGUACAGGGUGGUUUGCGAUGUUCCUCUAACAAAUACAUUUUGUAACGCGCCCUGUAUGGAUUAGUAUUAGUUCAUAUAGAGAGUUCAAUGCUCAGUGACGUUCGUAUCUGAUACGAAUUUGGGCGUUUUAUUGAAAGGUAAGAAAAAUUCUCAAGCAGCUACUUACAGAUAAACUAAAAGUUUUCUCUAAAAAUUGCAAUAUUAUCGUACUAUUUUAAAUAAUUAUUAAGUAAUAAAGAUAGAAAAAACUGGCGUUCAGAUAAAGACAAUAAAUAUACUACUAAAAAGAAUGCAAUGGAGUUUCAAACAAAUUAUUUCAAUGUUUUUGAUUCCAUUCCGUGAACGAAACGGUCAGUCUAUGCCUAACUAGUAAACCAGCGUUUUGAAAAAUUAUUCUUUAUUUAUCAAAAUAAUCUCCGAUACAAUCUUCCAACGAUUCUUUAAUUUUUCGAUGCCUCCAUUGUAAAACGGAUUAUCUUUGUUUCUCAAUGUUUCAAGUAGUCAACGAAAAUGAUUCCUUGCGGGUCUCAAAAUAGAGAGAUCAUAAACUUUUUGGCGGUUUGUUGCAUCUUUAUACGGCUUUCUCCGGGUACUAUCCAUUCAGAUGAUUCCGGAGUAAAGUGAUGGAUCCAUGUUUCCUCCAUUGUGGCAUACCGACUCAAAAAUUGCAAUCAUUGCAUUGCAUCAAUUCGUUGUUGUUUUGCUCUGGUGUAAGAAAAUGCGGCACCCAUUUAGAAAACAGCUUUCUCAUACCCAAGUGUCCAUGUGUCUGCCGUCCUCAAUUAAAACGCGGUAUCUGCAGAAAAAUUGAAAACAGAGUUUUUGCUAUAUGUGGUUUUCUUGUGACCUUAUUUUUGCUUCUGCAAUGUCUGAAAGUCGCGUAUCGUUUUAUUUACUACCAAAAUAAACAAAUUGGAAUAUGCCGUAUGUGCUAAAUUUCAAUAGCUGCUUAAUUAAAAUGCGGUAUCUACAGAGUACUCAACUAAAAAGCGGUGUGUGCUAGCGAGUAUCAUGUACUUGCCGCGUUUUAAUUGAGCACACCGCAUUUACCGCGUUUUUAUCGAGACUCGUGUUGCGACCUCGUAUUUUGAACAUUUAUGACAUGUAGGUAUUUUUCGUAUAUAAUAAACAAUUAUUAUAAGCUAUUUAUUUUUCUUUGUUGGUAACUAUUCUUCCUUGUAAAAAAUACUAUUCGUAAAUAAAAUGCAGAUACGGCGCUAUUUCUGAUCCAGUAAUAUGUCCGCUGCUCAAUUAAAAUGCGGUAUGUGACUUUUUAUUUACAGCUUUGAUAAAAAACAUGAUGUUUUUUUAAAUAAUGUUCAACUAUCAUUAGAACAUGUUUUGCGUUAAAAAGUUGUCAAAACAUAUAGAGUCCUGAGAAAAAACUUUGAGAGCCAAUUUCUCGGUUGUAAGUUGGCUGCACAUACCGCGUUUUAUUUGAGGACAGCAGAAUAGUCAAAAGGCCUUUGAUGACUUUAGAGUGUCAGCUAUCUCUUGCAACUCCAGUUUGCGAUUUUCCAUAAUUUUCAGCGUUUUUUUUUUUCGAUUAAGCGAUCAGCAUCAUUGGUGUGGGUCCGACCGCGUUUGAAUUCAGCAAACCAUCGUAUGAUGGUUGUAAUAGACGGAACAAUCUCGGUAAUAUUUUUUGAGCCUUUGGUCGGUUUGGACAGUAUGUUUUCCCAUCAAACAGCAGUGAUAAAUCAAGACACGAAAUUGCUUUGAAUCCAUUGUUUGAGUCAUUUCAAGCAACUCUAUGAUAAUAUGCUUUUGAAGGUUAAGACUACCGAAAUGUCAUGUGGAAAAUUCAUUAGAGUCGCCAUCUCAUGGUUAGGCCCGGGACUCAUUAGCCGACGUAUUAUAAGACUUUUUGGUCCUUUAAUACAUAUAAUGUAUACGUCAUAUAAAUAUAAAUGACAUCUUCAAGAUGUAUCUGUGGUACUGGUUGCCUAGGCUUGCUUCCAGGAAACGCCAUCUAGCUGAAACAAAAUAACAAAUCUAUCUUUUAUAAAGCUAUUUGAGAAUUUUUCGCAAAACCUUGCUCCAUUCCAGUGUUUCGAAUAAACAUAUUUUUUGAGAAUAUACAUACUUAACAUUUCGACUUAAAUUGACCAGUUAGUAUGAGAGAUGUUGAAAAAAUAAAGAUCUGUUUUACCAAACGUCCAUUUAUUUCUCCGAUAACCAUUUUUGACGUUAUACAACUAACAAAGCAAGAUAAUUGGUGAGAAGUGUUUUUUUAAGGAAAUAACAUACACAUAGAGCCGAUGAAAAUACGAAUAGACAACAAAAUGUGGACUAUUCAUAAAUUUCUACAAAAAAUCGCUUUAAAAAUAUGAAUCUUCAUUAUUUUUAGUCUGCCAUGACAUUUACUAUGUAGCAUGCGCCCAAAACGCUUGAAAUGUUGGAACAAAACCUCACCAAGUCAACUAUUCUAGCUCGCACGUCAUAUAUUAACCUUUUUGUCACCAAUCAAUUUUGAGUAUAUAUGUCUCACGUCUCCUUAGAGUUUACUGCAAUGCAAACUUAACCUAACUUAACCAAAUAUCACCAAAACUUUCUCAGAUCGCCGAAUGGUAUAAGCUUGCUUCUGAUAAAUAUUGUUUUCUCUAAAAUAAUUAAUUAUAUUUUUCGUGGAAGCUGUUGUCAGUACCUUGUCAUAUAUUCCUUACCGAAAACUAAACAAAUUUUUCCAUAAAUUCAAAAACGCCAUUUUAUAAAAAUCAUUUAAACCUUCAAAACUAAAUAUUACAACGACCUAUCCACAUUAAGAGUACAUCGUAUAUAUCGAUACUUGCAGACCGAUUUGUUUCAGUUUGUUCAGAGAUGACUAUAAUAUGACUAUAUUAUAUGCACUCUCUGAUGAGAAACUAACAAGGUUCGAAACCGGUUAGAGUGUCUGAGCGAACCGAAAUAUAAGACGGCUCUUGUAUCGUUUUAUAUCGAAAUUAUUAUUUCUAUUAAAAACACAGUUUUCGGUUGAAAUUCGUUAUUCGCGUAUUUUUUUUUAAAUAUUCCCUCCCCACUUAAAGUUUUACACAUGUUUCACAUACUUUUAAUAAAAUAAUAUCGAAAAUAUUGGAAUUAUUUAUAUUUAAGGUACUAGUACACUUUGGAAGACCAAAAAUAAGCAUUUUUUUCAAGAAUUUUUUUCUCAGCACCUUUAUUAAAAAUGAACAUAAAACUUUUUACAUAUUAAUAUCUAACUCUUAGAGAGCACAAUAGCUAUUUGUAUAACAAGGGAGGAAAGUGCUACUUUUCCUCCCGACAAUGAAGUUUACUGCCCGACGCGUAGCGGAGGGCAGUAAUCAUUCAAGGGAGGAAAAGGCACUUUACUCCCAUGUUAUACAUAUGGUUUUUCCACCUUCCUCAAAAAUAACAAGUAAUUUUUUCAUUUUUACUUAAUUUAUUUAUGUAACUAACCAACAAAAUUUAUUAGAACGAAAACUAACAAGUAGGUACAAUAUAACUGUCAACUGUCAAAUUAUUAAUGUAAACAUUGUUAAAUCAGAAUAACAAUUUACUGUUUUUUACCAUUCUGCAAAAUACGGAGUGUUUUUAAAUAAACGUUAAAAUGUAUAGAUACUUACGUAAUAGAAAAUAGAUAUUGUACAGGGCGUCAAUAAGUUAUAUUUCAUGAAUGAAAUACCAUGACGUCUGUUACUUUUCCUCCCUAGGGAGGAAAAGUAUAACUUUGCUCUCUACAAUUAGGUCUGGAAAAGUAUACUUUCGGUAGAGGUAGGUGGAAAAAAAUAUAUCUUUUUUCAUUUAUGCACAUACACUAAUAUUGUAGAGGGCGCAAAAGUCAAGGCCUCGAAAAAUCAUCGCGGACAGUUAAUCUCAGGAUUGGGAUCUCUGAAACAAAAAAAUCGUACUGCAUUUGAAAAAGGAAGGUUUCUUACGUGACAAUUUACCACAAUUUGAUCAAAAAAUAAAUAUUUUUUACCCAUGAAAAACUGAAGAAAAACAGGCGAUUUUUUCACAAAAAUUUUUCAAAUUUCCGUAAGAUCUUUUCUUUGAGAAAUUUUUUGCUAAUGGUGGUAAAUUGUCACGUAAGAAACCUUCCUUUUUUAAAUGCCGUGCGAUUUUUUUAUUUCAGAGAUUAACUGUCCGCUAUCGGAACUACUUUUUUUCGAGGCCUCGACUUUGGCGCCCUCUACAAUAUUAGUGCACGUGCAUAAAUGAAAAGAUAUAUAUUUUUUGUAUUCUCUAAGAGUUAGAUAUUAAUGUGUAAAAAGUUUUAUGCUCAUUUUUAAGAAAGGUUCCGAGGAAAAAAAUCUUGAAAAAAUGCUUAUUUUUGGUCUUCUAAAGUGUACUAGUACUUUAAUGUUUACUUGCAUCGUGACUGCGUGUGAGCAUACUUCGAUAUAAUGUUUCAGUCACUUUAGCUCUGAUUUUUCUAGUUUAACAAUCAGUUUUAUUGGCUUCCUUGAAAUCCAGAUUUGAGCCCAAGGGAUUGUUAUGUUUGGGUCCACACAAAAUCCGUUUUUUCUAAAGAUAUUUGAGGAAACUUUAACGAGACGAAUCUAGGAAGCCGUUCUUCAUUUCCUAUAAGAAAAACUUAAGGAAAUCUUAAUUUAUGAUUUUUAUGACAGCAUUUUCGUUAAAAUUUGUAGAAAAAAUUAGUGUUUUCCAUUAUUCCACACUUCCUUAGGCUUUUCCUUCUGUUAACACUAUAAAUACAAAUUUAUUUUAUUUUCUAUUGUAAAUAGGAACAUUUCUUACUCUACUGGCCAGUUUAAGUCAACAAAUAUAUAGAUUUUUUCCUGUUAUAUCCAUCUUACAGUUCAAGUAUUCAAAUUUAUGUUGUCUACUAUAAAGCGUUUCCAAAUCGUCGCACAAAUAGCAAAUUUUAUUUAAAAAAAAACUAGUUAUAUCGUACUUACAUCGUUGUCAAAUCGUCAGGAAAGUAGCUAAAUUUCUGGAAUUUCUAAAAACAAAAAGUAUAAAACAGGAAAAAUAUGUUUUUAUUUACAAAAAAAGAAAAACUAUAUUUAAAUUGAAAUACCUUUUGUUGAAAUGAUGUAAGAUGAAUUUAAUAGGAAAAACAUUGAAUUUGCGUAUUAGUGUAUUAUUAGUAGUUAAAAACUACGAUUUUGUCAAUUUUGAUCAAUUUUUCUUGAGACUAUUGUUAUAAAUAGUUUGAUUAUUUUUUAUUUAUUGUUUAAGUCGACCAGGAAUUUAAUUUUUGUGCCAACGAUAUGUUUGAUGGGAUUGUGUGAAUGAUUUCUUUUUGUUGCCAUAUUGAUUGGUUGAUUUUAUGAAAUUUAUCAGUGAAAAAUCGAUAGAUACAAAUAAUUUAAACAGACAAUACUCAAGUCAUCAGAGACGAAAAUGCCACUGAUCUUCUAAAAAAUUUUGUUUUUUUCAGGACUAUACUUGAAUCUUUCCACUGAACUUUAUGUUCAUUGUCCCAGGCGUGUUGACAUAUUUGACAUCUAUCAAAUUCUCUAUUUUUAAUGUAAGACUGAUGUUCACUUAUUAUAACGUUUAAUGGUCUUGAUGUUUCACCCAAAAUAAAACUGUUCGCAUUCACAAGGUAUUUUAUCACCACAAUUCUUUGUUCUUUCUUGUUCAUUGUUAGGUUUAAUUUUAGAUAAAAUAAAUAUCAAUGUGUUUGUUGUUUUGAAUGUUGUUGAAAUGUUGAAUUUAUUUCCUAUUGUUUUAAGUUUCUCGGAUAGUCCUUUUAUAUAUGGUAUUGAUAUUUUCCUCGUAUUAUUUCUUGUGAAUGUUGUAGGAUCCCGUUCUAAGUUGUUCUGUUCCAUUCGAUCCAAUCUUGACAAUUCCUUAUUUAUAAAGACAAACAGAACAACUUAUUUAUAAACAUAACAACUUAGAACGGGAUCCUAUAACAUCCACAAUAAAUAAUACGAGGUAAAUAUCAAUUCCAUAUAUGUAAUAUAAAAUGACUAUCUGAGAAACUUAAAACAAUAGGAAAUAAAUUCAACAUUUCAACAACAUUCAAAACAACAAACACAUUGACAUUUAUUUUAUUUAAAACUAAACCUAACAAUGAACAAGAAAGAACAAAGAAUUGCAUUUAUAAAAUACCUUAUGAAUGCGAACAAUUUUAUUUAGGUGAAACAUCAAGACCAUUAAACGUUAGAAUAAGUGAACAUCAGUCUUAUAUUAAAAAUAGAGAAUUUGAUAGAUCUCAAAUAUGUCAACACGCAUGGGAUAAUGAACAUAGAGUUCAGUGGAGAGAUUCAAGUAUAGUCCUGAAAGAAUCAGAUAGUAAGAAGAGAAUAAUCAAUGAAGCUUAAUUAACUUGAUUAACUCUUUGCCGUUUAAUCAAAGAAGCAAAGAAUUACUUUAAAAAAGCAUACGAACAAACCGAAUUUUACUGAAGAUGUCGAUUUUGCGACCCCAAAAAAGAUGCACAGAAGAUUGGCACUCCUACCUUGGGCUUCCACCUAAAGUCCCCCUCUUAGGGGAACGUUGAUUUAUCAAGAAUCUUUACGCUGUAGAAAAAAAUGUUUCAAGCAAGAAAUGUAGCUGAGAUCAUUUUAAACAAAAAUGUUUAUUAGCAUUUUUUUGGGUAGAAUGAAUCUUUCUCUCAGAAACAACGCUUGAAGGGACCGGUGCUUUUGAAUGUUAGUUACACCCGCGAAAUAAUUUAUUUAAAUAAAGGACACCGCACACAUUUUAUGGAAAAUAUAAUGUCACUCAAAUAAAAUUCGUCUCGAAAAUAUAAUCAUUUCAUAUUAUUGCUCCAACUCUGAACUUUUAUUAAUAACGGCGCACAUACGUCGAUUUAAUGGAUUUACGCGGCCAAAAUUAUUUUACAGCGUAUUUCUACUAAAACUGGUACAAAUCAAAGAAAAAUAUUGUUUUUUAAAAAUUGACGCAUUUUUCACAGAAAAAAUCAAAAUUUUAAAAUUAAUACAAAAUAUGCAGGUUUUUACUUAUACCUCAGUCGGUAUCUGACAUAUCGGACUCAGUAUUUGGGGUCACCCGGUAGGUAACGGCAUUUUAAUCGUUUCAGAACAAAAUGACUGUGGUUUGAUCCUUUUCUGUACACGUUUCUUGCUUCUAAAAAUUGUUAAUAGCUGGUCAGAAGUUAAAAGAAGUUUAAUUUCCUGUACGCAACUAUGUAUUUCCUUGCACUAGCUGGGAUCUCUUUUGGUAUUUUUGAAGCAUUCCUUUUUUCACGAGCCUGUAAUGUAUGUGUUGCAUGAACGAUAGCUUCACCAUCAAGCAAAGAACGCAUUUCUUCUGUUUUUCUUCUUUUCAUCCUUUCAAUGGAGUCCUCAAAUAAUGUAGGAAGCCGACCUGGUUCCAUUUUUUUUUCUACAAGUUUUAAAUAUUCCAUUUAACCAUUCUUUAUUUGCUUGUAGAAAUACCGCAUUUUUUCGUGAGUCUUUAACCAUUUCUCUAUCAUCGCCGUUUUAAAAUCUUGAAAUUUUUUUAAAUUCAUUAAAUUAUCAGAUAUAACAGUUCAAUAAGUUAAUUUCCAAAUAUUUUAAUUUGUCCUCUGGAUGAGGAAAAUCUUGUAGCUCCAUUUGUUCGCAGAGAUAUUUACGGAGUAUUAUUUUUAGGCCAGAGCAGUCACCAGAUGUAGUUAAAACAAAAAUAAAAUCGCAAUUAUUAUAUUUAAGACAAAUAUCUAGGUACUUUUAUUUUUGUGACGUCAUCCUAUAUAGCAAAAUUAAAAACCCCUGUAUUUCUGGCAUCCGCAGCUAGUCUGAAGCGUUUAACAUGUCUGCUCAUAUGGGAACAAGGAAAGACUAUCUAUAGAGAUACUGGGGGGUAAGAAUGGGGCUAAAGAAGAAGAAGCAGACACAUAAAGCCUCGUUGCGGGACGGCAGCUCAUUUGUUGUGCGGGAGCUAGGUCGUAGAUUCGUUAGGGAGGGUGAAGGGGUGUUAAGAUGACUACACUACCAUAACUAAAUACAUAAGGGUACUUACUCUGACUAGAGGAUCUUUCUACUAUUUAACAAAAAGGGACGCCGUUUGAAAUAAAUCCUCUAUUUCACCUAUGGGUACUUACUGGAUACUUUCUUACUUACGGGUACCAAUCGGGGGGACAAUCAUCAUUGAUUCCUCUUUGGGGUUACAUUGGGACAACAUCUUUCCUUAUUAUUGGCUUCUAUGCCAUAUUCUUUCUUUUCUCCUGAACUAAAACUUUCAUACAGUUGCAUCAGUUUUCUGUUAAAAUUUUUCCAAAGGCUACAGAAAUGAGAUGAUAGAUACACUUUCACAAACAUUUAUUUAAAACUUUACGGUGGUUUUUUUUUUAAACAAACAAAAAAACUUUUAACAGGAAAUGAUUUUACAGGACAAAAUAUCUACAAAUCUUUUACAUUACAAAAAAAAUCUUCAAUUUAACAUAACAAAAGAAUGACAAAAGAACUUGUUGGACAGUGUAUGUCAAAACAAAAUUUUGACGCAGCUGUCAAAGGUCAAAGUCACUGUCAUUUUAAUUUACAAGUUGCAUCAUGAAAGCACAAACAACUAUUAUUUUUCAAAACUCUUUACCAACAAAAAUAUUUAUCCAUUUGGGAUCCUUGCAAAAUUCAAAAAAAUAUAUCAUACCAUAUUUAAACAAAAUCCUUUAUCACACGUCACAAACUACACGGAAAGGGGGUUCAUCUACAAACAAGCAGGGUCAUCGACCUGAGGUGGGCUUCAUGGCUUCCUUUUUAUUUCGGGGCAAUCAACUGGAUAAACAUCACGGGACUGGAACUCAAAAUGUCUACAUCAGGACAUCAAUCGGGACUCGGAAGACUUCAUUUAAACAGGAACUUGGACAAGAUACAGGGACUUCAUACCACGCCGGCGUAUAGUACUGCGUCACAACUCAAACACAGUGUAAGAGCACCCAACUUCACUACGGGGUAAAAAAAACAUCGUGCCCUCACACUAGAUCUUCCAGAACGACAUACUAUACCCUUUACCGGCGGGUAACAAAAGGCACCACGCCCUUUUGGGGUGAGUCGGCAAGCGAUCUUCACGCUUGAAGAAAUCAAACCGGACUGAUCUGCGCUUCGGUCUGAAGCCACAGAUCGGGGAAAAUACGACGGAAGUACCGAGCGAUUUUGAUCCUUAGGGAUGCUUAGUUGACAAGAACUCAACUUUCAGUUCAAGAUUUGUUCUAGAAAGUUCAUCUACGCAUUAGAACUGUACUUUUGUCAACACUUCUUACAAAUUCUGUUUUUGCGUCUCAAAUAAACAGGAAUCUUGUAACACAUUGAAAUGUUGCUGCAAUACUUCAUGGCUGUAUACAGGGUCGGCUUGGGAUCUUAUAAUGAUAUUGAACUUCACAAAAUAAAUUAAAAAAAUAGACAUUCUUUUUGGGAAUUGGGAUAUUAAAUUAAUGUUGGAGUUUUUUCAAACGCUACAAAGCCUCCGCGCAAAAGAGAAACCUGGAUAAGAUUAUCCAGUUUUCGAUAACAAACAGAAAAAAAUCCAACAUGGACAUCUUAGGUGUGACAGGACAACAAUAUCAAAAUAUUUAGAUAAUGGCUAGUGGGGAUUAAACAAAACAAAAAAAUCGUUAGGGAUUGGGCUAGCGUGCCAUCAAUCGCCAGACUCUUUAAAGUCGAGUAGAUUUAAAUGUUUCUUGACUCUACUAAGAACUGUAGGUGACAAGAGUUUCUGUGCCUUGGGAAAGAAACUAAACUUGUGCCCUGUGUGGACCUCGCUGACAUCCACAGCAGUAACACAAGUGACAUACCAGGGCAGACACAGCCUUGUCACCUCGUUGCCUAACCGCGAGCGGUUCACAAAAACUAAAAAGUUGAUGUUUGACAGAUAAACAUCUGCCCAAACUCUGCUAACACCUAGCGAGUUUCACGGGACAUUUCGGCAACGGUUCUGCAAAACGAGGAUUUAGACAAUCCAGUCUAAACACCUCAGUGAGACAAAAUCUCACCAACAACUUACUUCAACAACUCAUUCAAACAAGACAGGGCUAGACAAAGGGGUAUAUGACAACAACAAGGGCUAAAAUCAAGACAAUAUUAACAAGGGGGGAGGGGGGAUACGUGUGACAACAACAAAAGACCGAAAAGACUAGUAUACUGGGUUCAAACAGGAUAUCAAACUUUUUAAACAAGACUAAGGGAAAUGAACGCAACAUAUGAUAUAGAGAACACUACAUCAUUACGUUUUCAAUCAACAGUCCAAUCCAGGACAUAAGAACCUUUCAUGAACGUUCACUAGACAACUCUCUCAUUUUCAAAUCACAAGCUGGGGAAAGACUUCAUUUUCAAAACAGGGCUACACUUCACUUUUCGAAACAGGGGAUAGACUUCAUUUUUCAAGACAGGGGGGUUGGGCUUUACUUUUCAAAACUGGGGAUAGACUUACUUUUCAAAACUGGGGGCAUUUCAUUUCUCAAGACUGGGGGUGGACUUUAUUUUUAAAACGGGGGGCUACUUUUUCAAAACAGGGGAUGAAAGCAACACGCAAGGGGAAGACCAAAGGGACAUUGGAAAGUAUGACAGUUCUGACGAACAACCGCUUCCAUUUAUCGACCGAAAGCAAGCUUCACCUGUACUCAACGCGGCCAGAUCCUAACCUCACCAGCCUUGUCACAGCUUCUGCUCUUGGCCUACUUUCAAUCAACAAAGAGAAGAGAGGUCAACUAACUAUUCGCCAAAAAAAAUCAAACUCCAGCACGGACACGGGCUAACAGACAACACGGGCUAAUAGACAACACGGGCUAAUAGACAACACGGGCUAAUAGACAACACGGGCUAAUAGACAACACGGGACAACAGACAAUGGGCUCUAAAACUUCCAGACAAAACAGGGAUAGACAAACAAACAGACAACAACAUACUUUUUGACUUCUAGAUAUACUCAGGGGCUUACAAACACAAACAAUAUUGAAAUUUGGUUCCUAUAUGAGCUCACACGGGAUAAGACAUUUCUUGCUCCGACUACUAAUGAAAGUGUUCACAGAUAGCUGAACAACACUUCCUUCAUCACGAGUAUUACACUUGUGACAUGUCAGAUACAAAAAGACAUACUUCAUUCACGGGGGGACUUCAACUACUUCACUGGGGGGGAGACUUCAACUACUACUUCACGGGCUCUUUUUAACUAACCUCUGGCAUCCUUUUGACACCUACAAAGAUAGAUUAGUCAAAAAAAAAAAAAAAACAAGGGGCAACACAGACAAGGGGGGGGCUUUUUCAGGGGCUAACUUCUACACUUCAAGACAGUUAUUCUCAAACAGUGUCGACAGAGAACGCUAUCUUCAAAUCUAAAAGUGACAGCUUUUCUCCUGGCUGCUUGAAAAAAACACAGAAGUGGGGGGCCUCUCCACGGUUUCCCUCUUCACUUCUUCACGGGGCCACUUCUCAAGGGGAUGACUUCUCAAUGGGAUGACUUCUCCAACUAACCUGUGGCAUGACAUACACCAACAGAGAUAGGCUUCGCUGGAAAAACAAGGGACUACUCUCACACAGACUAUACGGGGCUAAGCUCAUACACGGACCAUACCAACAACAUCACACAUCUAAUCAAAUGACCAAAUCAAUAAAUCACAAAAAACGAUUAUUCUGUAAAAAAACUGUUGAUCUAUAGGAAUACAUGCAAAAAAUACAACAUACUGUUAUACUUCAUAAUUGGAUUCAAUAUUCAAAAUAUUUAACGUUACUUUUAAUCAAAAUUUUCAAAAAAAUUUUACGUUACUUUUUUAUUCAACUGUUUGUCUAUAUAUUUCAUCAAUAUUUUCAAAAAAAUUCAAAUCAAUGCUUUCAUCAUGGGUACAAUAUCAAUACAAUACAGUUAGUACGCUACAAUAACAUACAAUUCUGUUCUACGAUACUUACAAUACAAUACAAUACCAGUAUACAUAUGGGGUUACAAGUUAAAUACACUAUGAUGUAUGAAAUGGUACAUGCCUGUACAAUCAACAGCACGACCAAAUCAACAUCACAACAAAAUGUGUACAUACUUACACCUCUUUGGAAAAAUUAUUAACUUUUGCAACAAAAACUACAAAAAUGGGCUCUUUCAUGGGGACUAACAGACUGAAACAGUUUCGGGGGCACUAACAGACAUGAAACAGUUUCUGGGGGCAAGACAAGAGGAAUCUGGGCUAAACUACAUGGGAAGACUUGGGCGAUAUUUACUCGGGUCAAACUUCAGGGUGUACGUUACAAGUAUUACAAGCGUAACACUAAGUGGGGGGGUGGCUAAAGAUAUUGGGGACUAGUAGAUAGGCUAACUACUAGUUGAACAUGUCUACAAGCUAGACUUGUAACAAUGGGCAUACAAAACAUGACACGAGUCGAGCUUCCAUGUUAUCGGAAACACUUGCACCACAAACUGAGAUCGGCUACCCAAGACGGGCACUGCCUAACAGUUGUAGUACAAAUGAGACCGAAAGGAGGCUAAAGGGAUAUGGUAGUGGGCACAUGCUAAUGGGAUCAGGGGGGCUAAAAAUGGAUCGAGCCCCACGUUGGGCGCCAUUUGAAGCGUUUAACAUGUCUGCUCAUAUGGGAACAAGGAAAGACUAUCUAUAGAGAUACUGGGGGGUAAGAAUGGGGCUAAAGAAGAAGAAGCAGACACAUAAAGCCUCGUUGCGGGACGGCAGCUCAUUUGUUGUGCGGGAGCUAGGUCGUAGAUUCGUUAGGGAGGGUGAAGGGGUGUUAAGAUGACUACACUACCAUAACUAAAUACAUAAGGGUACUUACUCUGACUAGAGGAUCUUUCUACUAUUUAACAAAAAGGGACGCCGUUUGAAAUAAAUCCUCUAUUUCACCUAUGGGUACUUACUGGAUACUUUCUUACUUACGGGUACCAAUCGGGGGGACAAUCAUCAUUGAUUCCUCUUUGGGGUUACAUUGGGACAACAUCUUUCCUUAUUAUUGGCUUCUAUGCCAUAUUCUUUCUUUUCUCCUGAACUAAAACUUUCAUACAGUUGCAUCAGUUUUCUGUUAAAAUUUUUCCAAAGGCUACAGAAAUGAGAUGAUAGAUACACUUUCACAAACAUUUAUUUAAAACUUUACGGUGGUUUUUUUUUUAAACAAACAAAAAAACUUUUAACAGGAAAUGAUUUUACAGGACAAAAUAUCUACAAAUCUUUUACAUUACAAAAAAAAUCUUCAAUUUAACAUAACAAAAGAAUGACAAAAGAACUUGUUGGACAGUGUAUGUCAAAACAAAAUUUUGACGCAGCUGUCAAAGGUCAAAGUCACUGUCAUUUUAAUUUACAAGUUGCAUCAUGAAAGCACAAACAACUAUUAUUUUUCAAAACUCUUUACCAACAAAAAUAUUUAUCCAUUUGGGAUCCUUGCAAAAUUCAAAAAAAUAUAUCAUACCAUAUUUAAACAAAAUCCUUUAUCACACGUCACAAACUACACGGAAAGGGGGUUCAUCUACAAACAAGCAGGGUCAUCGACCUGAGGUGGGCUUCAUGGCUUCCUUUUUAUUUCGGGGCAAUCAACUGGAUAAACAUCACGGGACUGGAACUCAAAAUGUCUACAUCAGGACAUCAAUCGGGACUCGGAAGACUUCAUUUAAACAGGAACUUGGACAAGAUACAGGGACUUCAUACCACGCCGGCGUAUAGUACUGCGUCACAACUCAAACACAGUGUAAGAGCACCCAACUUCACUACGGGGUAAAAAAAAACAUCGUGCCCUCACACUAGAUCUUCCAGAACGACAUACUAUACCCUUUACCGGCGGGUAACAAAAGGCACCACGCCCUUUUGGGGUGAGUCGGCAAGCGAUCUUCACGCUUGAAGAAAUCAAACCGGACUGAUCUGCGCUUCGGUCUGAAGCCACAGAUCGGGGAAAAUACGACGGAAGUACCGAGCGAUUUUGAUCCUUAGGGAUGCUUAGUUGACAAGAACUCAACUUUCAGUUCAAGAUUUGUUCUAGAAAGUUCAUCUACGCAUUAGAACUGUACUUUUGUCAACACUUCUUACAAAUUCUGUUUUUGCGUCUCAAAUAAACAGGAAUCUUGUAACACAUUGAAAUGUUGCUGCAAUACUUCAUGGCUGUAUACAGGGUCGGCUUGGGAUCUUAUAAUGAUAUUGAACUUCACAAAAUAAAUUAAAAAAAUAGACAUUCUUUUUGGGAAUUGGGAUAUUAAAUUAAUGUUGGAGUUUUUUCAAACGCUACAAAUUGUAUGCUAUUAAUUAGCCAAAUAUAUGCAGUAUGCUAUAAAAUUUAUACUAUUACUCGAUCGGAGGCGAUAAUACAACUAAAUGUCUUAUAAACAUAAAAAUUAAACAAAAUUGUCACUAUAAAACAGCUUGUUUUUGACUCUCCAAAAAUAAUAUAAAAUAACAGUAAACUUUCUAAAAAUAUUUCAAGAAAUAUUCAUUCUUACCUAAAUUAAUCGAUUCCAUCACAAUCACUUCGAAAAAUAAGGUAAAUAUUGCAAAAUGUCACAAUUUAAAAAAAAACUAAGCUAAGAGAACAAAAAUUCACGAACAAAUACAUGCGCGCGCAUUCGCACGUGCACACGUGCGCGGUGAAUAGUUCUGGAGUGGGGAUAGUAAGUUUUUGUUAAGACAAACUAUCAGGUGUCUCUAGGACGUGUCUUGAAUUUUUAACGUCAUUUUUGAAAUUUGACUUUUGUGAAUUGAUGUAAAUCAAUCUGAAAUCAAAUGAGUAUGUCCGUGAGUUAAAGAGAGAAAAGAGAUUUUGUGAAUCGCCAUUUCAUAAAUCAUUCUUCAAGUAUUGAGGCAGAGGCUUCCUCUUAUACAUAAUAAAUUAGAUAUAAUUUGGUCCUAUGUUUUCUCCACCUUGCUCUAUGGUGUUGAAGCCUGGACAAUGACAGAAACCACACAAAAAAGAAUCCAAACAUUCGAACUUUGGUGCUAUAUGACAAAUGCGGAAGUCUUGCGGAGGAUGAACAAGGAAAGAGAGCUUAUACUUAUAAUAAAAGAACGUAAAACAGAAUAUUUUGGUCACACCGUAAGAAAUCAAAAGUAUGAACUGCUCCAAUUUAUAAUCGAAGGCAAAAUCAAUAGCAAAAUGGGACCAGGAAGAAGACUAAACUAUUGGCUUAAAAACCUACGACAAUGGACGAAUAUGAUCUCAAUAGAACUGUUCAGAACGGCUGCAAAUAAGAUUAAAUUGACAAAUGUAGUGGCCAACGUCCUUAAGGAUACGGCACGGGCACCGUAAGAAGAAGAUAAUUUGGUCAGUCGUACCAAAGUAUGUUUCCUCUAAUCGACUUAGCUCACGCUGGGUAAGCUGUUUUCAAUAGCCACUAGACUAAUAGUAUUAUUUUAUGAAUGACAGUUUUAUGAAAUUCAAAAGUGUGAUUUCCUAAACUUUAUUUACAAUUUGCGCCCGUUAUUAAUCAAAAUUCAUAGUUGGCGCAAUGAUACGAAAUGAUUGUAAUUUCCAGACGAAUCUAUUCAUGUAAAUUUUAUUGCAUUUGAAUGACAUUAUAUUUUCCAUAAGAUCUGUGAGGUGUGCGGUGUCCUUUAAAAUUUCAGAGUUGUUUAAGAGUAUUUGCUAUCAAAUAUAUUGUUAAAUGUUUAAAUAGUUUUAAAUUAUUUGUAUCUAACAAACAGAAACAAAUCGAAAAGAAAAUUUUGUUAAAAACUCGAACUCACUUGUACUGGCGAUAUAAAUAUCUAGAAAAAGAAUAUUAUCAUGUUUGAAGCUGUUACAUUUCUUCAUUCGUUGUCAAAACUGUCUUUAUAAUAUCCCCUCAGAAGUGUUAGUUUGAUGGUUUAAAUCAGAAGUGAAUUCUCUCAAAAAACAAGAUACUUGUUUUAAAACAUUUUAGUUGUCGGUAGUUUUAUAUAGACAAACUUGGUCCUUAAAUGCUCUAAAAUGGUUUAAUGUCUUUCUGAAAGACACUGCAAGUUAAUACAGUACAGGGCAGACCAUUGAGCCUCUCUGAUGAUCCCUAAGGAGGGUGAAACGUACGUUAGAGGAUGAUGGUCAUCUCUGAAGCAAUUGAAAUACAAGAUGUCUCUCUUUCAUUUUAUAUUAGCUUAUUCCUAUCUGUAUCUGAGCACAGAUACCCAAGAUUGGUUGGAAUUUUUACUUAGAUGAAUAGACAGGUAGUGAAAUGCAAUUUUAGAUUCCCCCUAGUCUUCUUUAAUUCAUCGUACCCAUCUUGUCUUUGAAAUGGAGUGAAAAACGGUAUGGUACAAUGUUUAUUAUGUUUACGGAUGACUAUAACUACAGACAAACCAUUACUACUACUACUACUACUACUACUACUACUACUAGUAGUAGUUACGAAGAAAAUUCGAUCUAUCAAUAGAUAGGAAUAUUAGACCAUGGUAUAUAUUCUAUUUAAACCAUUAAACCUAUACAUAGUAUUAAAAGUUAUUGAAAUAAUUUUUAUGUGCUCGAAAAAACUGUAAGAAAAUCAAAAUAUAAAGGACAAUCUGUUUUUACAUACUACAAAUGUGUUCUGAUGGCAUUUUAUUUGUUUUGUAGUAUAUAAAAUUAUUAUCGACAUACAAAUUUGUUACUUUUAUGUCUUGCUUUUCAGAAAAUUGAAAAUAUUUCUUAUGAACAUUAUAAAUGAUUUUGUGUUUCAGUUUUUAUUAAAUUUAAAUUAUCCUAUGGCAAAACUAACUCUUUACGAAGAAUAUUACUUCACUUUUGAGACAGAAAAUAAAAAAACUUAGUCUUUGUUAAGUAUAGAGUCGCUUAACCGUGCGAAAAUUUGACACCUUUACCCCAGUUUCAACACUAAGGGCUGUUUCACAUUAUAAGAAUUUUGAACGUGCCCGGGUUUUCUCGUGCGGUAGUUUUGACGCACUUGUCCUUUUUACACAAUAAGAAUUGAGUCGCACGAAGAUAUUUUGCUGUGUUGUUUGGUAUAUUAUUUUUAUUUACACUUUGUGGCUGAGGUCGGUACAUGAUACGAUGUCUGAUAUGUAUAAUUACAAAUGGGUAUUUUUGUCCAUACUUUUGUCCUAAUGUACUGUAAUGCGUAUUUAAUUCAUUUGUAAUUUCUAUUUUGUCAGUUAUUAUUUCUUAUGUUUUUAAUUAAAAGUCUUAAUUUGUUUUUAUAAUCGUUGUUCUACUGUUAUUUGUGGGUUCUUGGAUUAGCUCAUACAAUCCAUGUAGUAAACUAUUCUAAAUGGGAAAUAAGCCACAAUUUAACUAAAAAAAAUAUUUGAUUAAUGUUUCGACAUCCGAUUUGGGCGUCGAAACGUUAAUAAAAUCAUUUUUUAGUUAAAUUGUGGCUUAUUUCCAAUUUAGAAUAGUUUAUUACAAAAAUGCCACAAGGAAAUAGCUUCAGAACAACAUUACAAUCUAUGUUUUUCAUGUACAGAAUUUAAAAGACCCUCCGUCAUCCACUCAUUUUUAAAUGUUGUUCCCCUCGUUUUAAAUGUUGUUUUUAGAUAAUUUCACACAAGACGCGACGGCUGCCCUACUCCAGCCUUCCGAGUCAUUUACCCUAUAAAACUAAAUAUAAUUUCGUAGAAUAAAAGGUAUAUUUUAUAUGGAGCGAAAUCAAAUUAUAGCGUUGUGGUUACUUUAUUGUCGAAGAAAGAGAAAUAAGAGGAACCGAAUUCAUUGGGUCCAUCCUAAGAACGCAAAAAUAUACGAUUUAUAGAUUUUUAUAUUCACACAUAUUGAUAGAACACCCUCUAUACUCAACGUUAAUUGCAACUAUGUAAAAUAAAGUUUAUUAUAAUAUACUUAGCAGUUUUAAUUACUGUUGUUAUCAGUGACAUAUAAUUAAUUUUGCUGUGCUUACCAAAUGUGUUUUUUUCUUUAUCACCUAAUUCGUCAAAUUCACUGUUAAGUGCACGGUAUACACCAUUCUAAGCAUUUCUCCUCAAGUAUCUAGUAUUUUUACUACAAAAGCGAUAUUACGUAAGUCAAAAUUUUUGACGUAAGAGAACUGUCAAAACAUUAGAAUGUGACUUUUAAUUAUUGCCAUGUUUAUUAUAAACAUUAGAAUGUGACUUUUAAUUAUUGCCAUGUUUAUUAUAAACAUGGCAAUAAUGAAAAGUCACAUUCUAAUGUUUUGACAGUUCUCUUACGUCAAAAAUGUUGCCUACGUAAUAUCUUCGUGCGACUCAAUUCUUAUUGUACGAAAAGCACAAGUGCGUCAAAACUAUCGCACGAGAAAACCCUAGCACGUUCAAAAUUCUUAUAAUGUGAAACAGCCCUUAGCGUGUGAAACGAGGGUUAUUAGUCCCGUCUAUUGACGUCAUUAUUGAGAUGUCAGCUGUCAAGGGAAUGGGUAGCAGAUAAUACUUGACAGUUAAUAUAAAUAUGAGUUGGAAGCAGAUGGAAAAAUUCAUAUAAGCUCUGUAAUCAUUGAAGUUUGAUGAGUUGUCUCAUGUAAAUGAGUAGUUGUAAAAACAUCUGUUUUUGCAAUAGAAAGGUCUUUUCUGUUGAGUCCGUGAUUCUUUACCCGUGUGUCAUCAAGUGCUUACGAAAUAAAUGGAAAAGGACACCGCAUAAAUGAAUUCUGAUUAAUAAUGGCGUAAAUUGUGAUUGAAGUUUAUAGAAAUCACAUUUUUGAAGUCCAUAGUCUAAAAUAUAUUAUCAUUAUUUAAAAAAGGCUUAACCCAGCAUGGCAUGAGGCUGACCCUUAUUUUGGGGUGUGUCACUGGAGGUGCAUUGUCAUUUAUUAUUUAUAAGAGAAGAGAACUUAAUUCGUGUUGAAAGAUUAAUAAACACAAAUAAUAUGCUUUUUCACAAGAUCUUUUUCCUCCGUCUAUCUUAUAUAAAUUUACAUACCGAUUUUAUUUUACAUUUAUUUAUAUCAAUGUACGCCCUUAUUAAUCAACAUUCAGAGUUGGCUCACUGGUAUGAAAUGAUUGUCAUUUUGAGACGAAUAUAUUUAUGUAUUUUUUUUGUAUUUGAGUGACAUUACAUUGUCCAUAAGAUGUGCGCGGUGUUCUUUGAGAAAAUAUUUUAAAAUAGUGUUUUUCUUUUCUGAAAAUCAUCCGAAUCAAUAUGGUAACAAAUUUGUUUAAAGUACACUGGCUAAAUUUGACAAUAUAACUGCAAUUUUAAAGAUCCGUGUAUAAAUUGGUCCUCUGUACUUUAUUAAUAUAAAUAAGAUGUUCAUCUACAAAAACAAUAACUAAAGACUAAAAGAGGCCUUUUCCAAAGCUGCAUCUAAUGCGGUUCUAGCCCUAAAAUACUUUUUGUACUCACUUUUUUACUGUCGUUUAUAUAAAACACUUGUAUUGAAGAAAUAUAAUAAUAUACAUCCUA
rnacentral:misc_RNA from 1 species